GACGUAGGGACCAAGCGUUGUUCGGAUUUACUGGGCGUAAAGGGCGCGUAGGCGGCGUGGUAAGUCACUUGUGAAAUCUCUGAGCUUAACUCAGAACUGCCAAGUGAUACUGCUGUGCUCGAGUGUGGAAGGGGCAAUCGGAAUUCUUGGUGUAGCGGUGAAAUGCGUAGAUAUCAAGAGGAACACCUGAGGUGAAGACGGGUUGCUGGGCCAACACUGACGCUGAGGCGCGAAAGCCAGGGGAGCAAACGGG
rnacentral:rRNA from 1 species